UGGGACGCGCCGGGAGGUUUGCCGAUCGGUAGCCUAGCAACGGCUACGUCAUCAUGCUGUGACCGGAUGCGGUGCCGCCGGAGGCUCCCGCCCGCCGCGUCUCCCAGUCUCAUGUGGGAUCUACGGUACGAAAAUGAUGUACAACUAAUAUACCCCAUAUAUUACUACAGUCAAAAAAUAAUCUGAGGCAUGCAACAUGACAAAUUUGCUUUAACAUGCAGCAUCCCCUUCUUGUAAAUGGGACGAUAUGGAAAUGUACUGCAAUACCAGUGAGACAGAAGUAACCGCAGUUGUAAGUAGAGAAAAUACAAGGAGAAAAGAAGCAUCAGGAGCUGACAGUGACAUAUCAUCCACUUUAUGCUCACUCAGAAGAUUGUUCUUGUAUCACAUUACCUGCCUAGGUGGGCCCUUCUGUUGAUAUUUGAAGAUGUUUAUCCCACUUGGAAAAAGCUUAUAUAGCGGAGGUAGUUUGUUGCACACAGUAAUGCUACGGUAUUUAAUAGCGUAAAAUAACUGGCAAAGCCACACUUGUCAUACUUGAGAUGAUGUCUAUUAUAAUGUAUCAAACCAUGGGGCAGAUGUAUUAAGCCUGGAGAAGGGAUAAAGAAGUGAUAAAGCAGUGAUAAGUGAA